GACACUUGACAACGAAUAUCUCGACUCUCAAAUUGAUGAAGAAGGUAGCGAAAUGCGAUGCUUGGUGUGAAUUGCAGAAUCCCAUGAACCAUCGAGUCUUUGAAUGCAGGUUGCACACGAAGCCAAUUAGCCGAGGGCACGUCUGCCUGGGCGUCA
rnacentral:rRNA from 1 species